UGGAGGCAGCAGUGGGGAAUAUUGGACAAUGGGCGCAAGCCUGAUCCAGCCACGCCGCGUGAGUGAUGAAGGCCUUCGGGUCGUAAAGCUCUGUGGGGAGGGACGAACCGCCGGUUAUUAAUACCAGCCGGCAUGACGGUACCUCCUUAGCAAGCACCGGCUAACUUCGUGCCAGCAGCCGCGGUAAU
rnacentral:rRNA from 1 species